rnacentral:lncRNA from 1 species
UCCUUUUAUUUACUUUUAAAGUAAUAGCAUUUUGACAUUUCCAUUUCCUAGUGUGCCCUCCUGGAUUUUAUGGCUUGAAUUAUGCUCACAUCUAUGACUGCAAAAAAUGGAGCUAGUUGUGAUGCAGCAAGGGAACAGUGCAUUUGCCCAGCAGGUGUCCACAGCAGCCGAUGUGAAAAAGUGUUCACCUGGCAUGUUUGGAGAUGAUUGCCAUCAACUUUGUGACUGUGAAGGAGAAACCUUCUGCCACCCAAAAACUGAAAAAUGCCUCUGCCCCCCUGGGAGAACUGAGUCAGAUGUGAUGCUGGUAAGACCCAAAGCACCUAAGGACUCCCCGCUGACCCAUGGUUAUAAGAUAUCUGUA